rnacentral:rRNA from 1 species
AUUGAACGCUGGCGGCAGGCCUAACACAUGCAAGUCGAGCGGAUGAAGGGAGCUUGCGCCUGGAUUCAGCGGCGGACGGGUGAGUAAUGCCUAGGAAUCUGCCUGGUAGUGGGGGAUAACGUCCGGAAACGGGCGCUAAUACCGCAUACGUCCUGAGGGAGAAAGUGGGGGAUCUUCGGACCUCACGCUAUCAGAUGAGCCUAGGUCGGAUUAGCUAGUUGGUGGGGUAAAGGCCUACCAAGGCGACGAUCCGUAACUGGUCUGAGAGGAUGAUCAGUCACACUGGAACUGAGACACGGUCCAGACUCCUACGGGAGGCAGCAGUGGGGAAUAUUGGACAAUGGGCGAAAGCCUGAUCCAGCCAUGCCGCGUGUGUGAAGAAGGUCUUCGGAUUGUAAAGCACUUUAAGUUGGGAGGAAGGGCAGUAAGUUAAUACCUUGCUGUUUUGACGUUACCAACAGAGUAAGCACCGGCUAACUUCGUG